GAUAAGGAAAGUAGGAAAGGGCGCAUGGCGGAUGCCUUGGCUCUCGGAGGCGAUGAAGGACGUGAUAAGCUGCGAUAAGCUGCGGGGAGGUGCAAAUAACCCCUGAUCCGCGGAUUUCCGAAUGGGACAACCCGAUGUGUUGAAGACACAUCAUCUCAUCUAAUUGAGAGGCUAACGCAGGGAACUGAAACAUCUUAGUACCUGCAGGAAAAGAAAAUAACAAUGAUUCCCCCAGUAGUGGCGAGCGAACGGGGAAGAGCCCAAACCCCGGAUGUUACGGCAUCCGGGGGGUUGUAGGACCGCGACAUCGCAAGACAUCUCGUGAGAAGAACUGUUUGGAAAAUCAGACCGAAGACGGUGAGAGUCCGGUAUUCGAAGCGAGACGAAGCGUAGCGGUAUCCUGAGUAGCGCGGGACACGAGGAAUCCUGCGUGAAUCUGCCGGGACCAUCCGGCAAGGCUAAAUACUCCCGGGAGACCGAUAGUGGACCAGUACCGUGAGGGAAAGGUGAAAAGCACUUCGAACAGAAGAGUGAAAGAGUACCUGAAACCGUGCGCCUACAAGCGGUCGGAGCCCGCAAGGGUGACGGCGUGCCUUUUGCAUAAUGAACCUACGAGUUGCCGUGUCUGGCAAGGUUAAGGGGCAUGAGUCCCGGAGCCGAAGCGAAAGCGAGUCUGAAGAGGGCGUCAAGUCAGAUGCGGCAGACGCGAAACCAAGUGAUCUACCCUUGGCCAGGAUGAAGUCUGGGUAACACCAGAUGGAGGUCCGCACCAAUAAGCGUUGAAAAGCUUCUGGAUGAGCUGAGGGUAGGGGUGAAAGGCUAAUCAAACUUGGAGAUAGCUCGUACUCCCCGAAAUGCAUUUAGGUGCAGCCUCGCGGGUUACUGAUGUGAGGUAGAGCGACUGAUUGGAUGCGAGGGCUUCACCGCCUAUCAAGUCCUGACAAACUCCGAAUGCGCAUCAGUUCUACCGCGGGAGUGAGGGCAUGGGUGCUAAGGUCCGUGCCCGAGAGGAGAAGAAUCCGGACCACCGGCUAAGGUCCCGAAAUGACAGCUAAGUUAAACUAACGAAGUCUGAUUGCUAAGACAGCUAGGAUGUUGGCUUGGAAGCAGCCAUUCAUUUAAAGAGUGCGUAACAGCUCACUAGUCGAGGAAUCGGGCGUGGAUAAUAAUCGGGUAUUAAGUUGUCUACCGAAGCCGUGGAAC
rnacentral:rRNA from 1 species